rnacentral:rRNA from 1 species
UACGGAGGGGGCUAGCGUUGUUCGGAAUUACUGGGCGUAAAGCGCGCGUAGGCGGACCUGCAAGUCGGGGGUGAAAGCCCGAGGCUCAACCUCGGAACUGCCUUCGAUACUGCGGGUCUCGAGUCCGGGAGAGGUGAGUGGAAUUCCUAGUGUAGAGGUGAAAUUCGUAGAUAUUAGGAAGAACACCAGUGGCGAAGGCGGCUCACUGGCCCGGUACUGAAGCUGAGGCGCGAAAGCGUGGGGAGCAAACAGG